UUUCUUCAGCAGCACAAAUACUAAAAUUGGAAUGAUAUGGAAAAGAUCAGCAUGGCCCCUGUGCAAGGAAGUUUAGCAAUAACGGAUGUGCCCACUCUGGUC